UCAUCAUCUUGUGAGCAUCUGGGCCAAGUUCAGGGCUGGUGCUCUCGUUCAGAUAGAUUUAGCUGGUGGUGCAGAGAUCCGUGAGCUUGCUUUUACAGGACUUUAAUGAUAUAUAAAAGCAGCACGAGGUGCUCCUGACUGUGGAUUAAUUUGGAGAUGACUUUCUCUGUUGAAGAGUAGCAAGACUCUCGCGAGUUCUUAAAAAUGCACUUGUUUGGUAUGAGAAUGAAAAGCAGUGGCUGAAGAACCAAUCUUCAAUGGGCAAGCCUUCUCUGUGUCUGUUCUAACACGUGCCAUUUGGGAUCCCUUGGAAUCUUCAUGUACAGAACUGGUUGCUGCCUCGUUGAGUCGGUGGGGACAGAAUAGCUCCUGGUUGACAGCAUGGGUUGUGCAGAAGGACGGAUCCUGCAGACAUCAAUAUCUGGCUUUGAGUGGCACAAAGAAAUAAAGGAAUGUGGAUUCAGACCUCACUGGGAUGCUUGGCAAUUCUAAUUCUACCCCAGACUGCAAAUGGACACACAACUGUUGUGACUUUUGUUGAAGAGGAGAAGGAUGGUGAAGGUCUCUUUAGUCAAUAAUCUCUUUGCUGAAAUUGCUUCGGGCAGCACAGAAGCUGGAUUCAGAAGCACACAGGUCUGGGGAUGCAGGCUUCGGCCAGCCUGAUGCAAGGAAAGACUGCCAUCUCGUGGUCAGCUCAAUCCUGGCACCUUGGUGAGGGACCAGGCUGCAGAAAACCAGGCUUGGGGAGGAAACGGUGCUGCAAACUGGAUUUCUGCCGGACAGUGUGGAUGCCCUUAGAAAACACCCAGAAAAGAGCUGAGUGCCCCCCAAGGUAGGCUUCAGUGAAUCCUCUGCAGGUGUGUUGUCAUCCCUUGAGCCAAACACAUGCUUCACACACACGCUGCAGGCUGCGUGAAAAUGAGGUAGAAAUGUGGGGAAAACAUAAUCCCAUGGAGAGAACAAAGAGCUGAACACGUAAAUGCCUCCGGCGUGCCUGGCAGAGAGAACACUCAGGCUGAGAGAAGGGACAGUGACUUGUACCAAAGGUAGGCAAGUAGCCUCUGGGGUCUCAAUCAGCAGGGCAUCUGGUCAACCCUUCAGACAAAGUCAGGUCUGAGCAGGCAAGAUCCAUGGAUCUGAUUUAUUAAUAUUUUUACAAUUAAAUAGAAUCUGAUUGUAAAACUGUUACAUGUGUUGUAAGAAAAAAAGAAAAAAAGGAAGGAUAUAGAAAUGUACAAAGAAGGAAAUAAAAGACUGGAAGCGUCCUCACCUUAGGGACCCAUUAUUAACGCUUAGGUGGCCAAUCUUCCAGACAUCUUGCUACGAAUAUAUUCAAACGGGAAUUAAAAAUGUACUUUUACACAAGUGCAAUCAGACCUUGUACUCCUCUAUCCCAUAACCUACUUUUUCAUUCAACACUAUGACAGAAGCGUCUUUCCAGGUCCAUAAAUAAAGGUAGGCCUCAUCGUUUUUUAUCAAUUACAUAAAGCUAAUGGUAUAUAAUACUGAUUUCAUACCUGCUAUAUGCCAGGCACAUACAUGGUCUUGCAUAAUCUCAUAAUGACUCUACAGAACGGGAGUUUGUAUUAUGCCCAUUAAGCAGAUGAACAGGCUGUGGCACAAGAAAAUUGAUCAGCACUGCCAGGGUAUCUGACCUCAGAGCCCAGGAUCUUGACUAGUAGGCUAGAAAUGAACAUAAUUUACUUACCAGUUUUCCAGUGAUGGACAUUAAGCCAUUUCCUACUUUUCUGGUAUAAAAAAUAAGAUUGCAGUGAAACUUUAGGGCAUAUACAUCUUUGCACGUUAGUGAGUUCUCUCUAAGUUAACCUGAAAGCGGUGGGCUGUGGAGUUUGUGGGUCAAAGUGUAUGCUCGAUUUAUGCUUUACUAUGUGCCCGACUUCCCUCCAGGCAGCAUGUGCCAGCUCACACUCCCAACAGCUGCGCAGGAGAAUUUCCAGUGCCCCACGACCUUGUCAAUACUAGGCUUCCUCAUCAGUUUUUUCUCUCCUUUAUUUUUCUUUAGGAAAAAAAAAACAGCCUUUGAAAAAAAUUGUACGAACAAGUGCAAUGUGUGCUUGUAAGUGCUUCACCAAAUGUAGAUCCACCCGGUGUUAACCUUUUGCCACAUCUGCUCUCUAUUAGUUUUUAUCACACUUUGGAAUUAUCUAUAGACAUCAUAACACUUGAUGCCUAAAUGCUUUGGUGUGUGUCUCUUAAGAACAAAGACACACCCUUACCUAAGCAUAAUAUAAUUGGUACACUUGGGAAUUGCUAAAAUACAUUGCUAAAAUACAGUUUUCUAAUACAGAAUCUAUAUCAAGUCAUUGAAUAAACACACUUCUUGACUUAAAAUGAGAUUACAUCCCAUAAACCCAUAAUAAGUUGAAAAAAUGUAAGUAAAAAUGCAUUUAAUACACUAAAUCUGCUGAAUAUUAUAACAAUUUUGCCU
ensembl:lncRNA LINC01727 long intergenic non-protein coding RNA 1727